CUGGGAGCUGGGGGCAAGGGUGAAGGCUGUACUGGGAACGGGUCCCAGGCCAUGGCCGGCGCGUAGCCCCUCCCCCCACCGGACCGGAGCCGUGGACACGCUGAGCCAGAGCCGGAAGGGAGCGAUGAUUGGCUGCCAGGCGAGAGGCGCGCUGUGAUUGGCCGCUUCCUGGAGAGCGUCGCGUCAUCGGUGUAUGCGGCAGUGAGGGAGGGGCCGCCCCCGCCCAGCAGCCGCCCCCUCCCCCCCCCCACGGGGGGGCCGCGGGGGGACCCAGCCCCCCCCAG